rnacentral:rRNA from 1 species
UGGCGAACGGGUGAGUAACGCGUGAGGAACCUGCCUCAAAGAGGGGGACAACAGUUGGAAACGACUGCUAAUACCGCAUAAGCCCACGGGUCGGCAUCGACCUGAGGGAAAAGGAGCAAUCCGCUUUGAGAUGGCCUCGCGUCCGAUUAGCUAGUUGGUGAGGUAACGGCCCACCAAGGCGACGAUCGGUAGCCGGACUGAGAGGUUGACCGGCCACAUUGGGACUGAGACACGGCCCAG